rnacentral:rRNA from 1 species
UCGGAAUUACUGGGCUUAAAGAGCUCGUAGGUGGUUAGAAAAGUUGGUGGUGAAAUCCCAAGGCUUAACCUUGGAACUGCCACUAAAACUUUUUGACUAGAGUGUGAUAGAGGAAAGUGGAAUUUCUAGUGUAGAGGUGAAAUUCGUAGAUAUUAGAAAGAACACCGAUUGCGAAGGCAGCUUUCUGGAUCAUUACUGACACUGAGGAGCGAAAGCAUGGGUAGCGAAGAGGAUUAGAUACCCUCGUAGUCCAUGCCGUAAACGAUGUGUGCUAGACGUUGGAAACUUAGUUUUCAGUGUCGCAGCAAAAGCGUUAAGCACACCGCCUGGGGAGUACGACCGCAAGGUUAAAACUCAAAUGAAUUGACGGGGACCCGCACAAGUAGUGGAGCAUGUGGUUUAAUUCGAAGAUACGCGCAGAACCUUACCAACACUUGACAUGUUCGUCGCGACUCUAAGAGAUUAGAGUCUUCGGUUCGGCCGGACGAAACACAGGUGCUGCAUGGCUGUCGUCAGCUCGUGUCGUGAGAUGUUGGGUUAAGUCCCGCAACGAGCGCAACCCUUACUUUUAGUUGCUACCAUUUAGUUGGGCACUCUAAAAGAACUGCCAGUGAUAAGCUGGAGGAAGGUGGGGAUGACGUCAAGUCCUCAUGGCCCUUACGUGUUGGGCUACACACGUGCUACAAUGGUACAUACAGUGAGAAGCGAAGAGGCGACUCUAAGCUAAUCCCAAAAAUGUACCUCAGUUCGGAUUGUACUCUGCAACUCGAGUACAUGAAGCUGGAAUUACUAGUAAUCGCGGAUCAGCGCGCCGCGGUGAAUACGUU